rnacentral:rRNA from 1 species
UACGGAGGGUGCAAGCGUUGUCCGGAUUUAUUGGGCUUAAAGGGUGCGUAGGCGGCUUAUUACGUCAGGGGUGAAAGACUGCAGCUCAACUGUAGCAGUGCCUUUGAUACUGAUGAGCUUGAGUACAGAUGAGGCUGGCGGAAUGGGUGGUGUAGCGGUGAAAUGCAUAGAUACCAUCCAGAACACCGAUUGCGAAGGCAGCCGGCUAAGCUGUAACUGACGCUGAGGCACGAAAGCGUGGGGAUCGAACAGG